rnacentral:rRNA from 1 species
AUUUAUCGGGGUAUGAUGAGCCCGCGUUGGAUUAGCUAGUUGGUGGGGUAAAGGCCUACCAAGGCGACGAUCCAUAGCUGGUCUGAGAGGAUGAUCAGCCACAUUGGGACUGAGACACGGCCCAAACUCCUACGGGAGGCAGCAGUGGGGAAUAUUGGACAAUGGGCGCAAGCCUGAUCCAGCCAUGCCGCGUGAGUGAUGAAGGUCUUAGGAUUGUAAAGCUCUUUCACCGAUGAAGAUAAUGACGGUAGUCGGAGAAGAAGCCCCGGCUAACUUCG